rnacentral:rRNA from 1 species
AUCAACUUUCGAUGGUAGGAUAGAGGCCUACCAUGGUGGUAACGGGUAACGGGGUGUUAGGGCACGACACCGGAGAGGGAGCCUGAGAAACGGCUACCACAUCCAAGGAUGGCAGCAGGCGCGCAAAUUACCCAAUCCCGACACGGGGAGGUAGUGACAAUAAAUAACAAUACGGGGUUCUUUCGGAUUUCGUAAUUGGAAUGAGUACAAUUUAAAUCUCUUAACGAGGAACAAUUGGAGGGCAAGUCUGGUGCCAGCAGCCGCGGUAAUUCCAGCUCCAAUAGCGUAUAUUAAAGUUGUUGCAGUUAAAAAGCUCGUAGUUGAAUUUCGGGGUCAAUACGUCGGUCGUGCCUCCGGUAUGUACUGGUGUUAUUGAUCUCUCCCUUCUGAUGAACCAUGAUGUCAUUAAUUUGGUGUUGUGUGGAGUCAGGACUGUUACUUUGAAAAAAUUAGAGUGUUUAAAGCAGGCUCACGCUUGAAUACAUUAGCAUGGAAUAAUGAAAUAGGACGUUCGAUCCUAUUUUGUUGGUUUCUAGGAUCAACGUAAUGAUUAAUAGGGAUAGUUGGGGGCAUUAGUAUUCAAUUGUCAGAGGUGAAAUUCUUGGAUUUAUUGAAGACUAACUACUGCGAAAGCAUUUGCCAAGGAUGUUUUCAUUAAUCAAGAACGAAAGUUAGGGGAUCGAAGACGAUCAGAUACCGUCGUAGUCUUAACCAUAAACUAUGCCGACUAGGGAUCGGAUGAUGUUAAUUUUUUAAUGACUCAUUCGGCGCCUUACGGGAAACCAAAGUGUUUGGGUUC